rnacentral:tRNA from 1 species
GCCGCGGUGGUGAAACUGGUAGACACAGCGGACUUAAAAUCCGCCGCCAACGAAAGAAGGCAUGCCGGUUCGAUUCCGGCCCGCGGCACCA